GUGGCGAACGGGUGAGUAACACGUGAGCAAUCUGCCCUUGACUCUGGGAUAAGCGUUGGAAACGACGUCUAAUACCGGAUACGACCAUCCCUGGCAUCGGGAGGUGGUGGAAAGAAUUUUGGUCAAGGAUGAGCUCGCGGCCUAUCAGCUUGUUGGUGAGGUAAUGGCUCACCAAGGCGACGACGGGUAGCCGGCCUGAGAGGGUGACCGGCCACACUGGGACUGAGACACGGCCCAGACUCCUACGGGAGGCAGCAGUGGGGAAUAUUGCACAAUGGGCGCAAGCCUGAUGCAGCAACGCCGCGUGAGGGACGACGGCCUUCGGGUUGUAAACCUCUUUUAGCAGGGAAGAAGCGCAAGUGACGGUACCUGCAGAAAAAGCACCGGCUAACUACGUGCCAGCAGCCGCGGUAAUACGUAGGGUGCAAGCGUUGUCCGGAAUUAUUGGGCGUAAAGAGCUCGUAGGCGGUUUGUCGCGUCUGCUGUGAAAUCCCGAGGCUCAACCUCGGGCCUGCAGUGGGUACGGGCAGACUAGAGUGCGGUAGGGGAGAUUGGAAUUCCUGGUGUAGCGGUGGAAUGCGCAGAUAUCAGGAGGAACACCGAUGGCGAAGGCAGAUCUCUGGGCCGUAACUGACGCUGAGGAGCGAAAGCGUGGGGAGCGAACAGGAUUAGAUACCCUGGUAGUCCACGCCGUAAACGUUGGGAACUAGAUGUGGGGACCAUUCCACGGUCUCCGUGUCGCAGCUAACGCAUUAAGUUCCCCGCCUGGGGAGUACGGCCGCAAGGCUAANACUCAAAGGAAUUGACGGGGGCCCGCACAAGCGGCGGAGCAUGCGGAUUAAUUC
rnacentral:rRNA from 1 species